rnacentral:misc_RNA from 1 species
GGCAGUUCCAUCUCAUCUGGUCCGUUCUCUAGUCCCAACUCUCUACCCUGAUAAAUGGCAGCCCAAGCUCUCUCUAAAAAUUCCUCCAAAAAAAUUUCUCUCCCGCCAAUUCUCCCAUCCAUCAAAACCCCUGUUUUGCGCUGCCAACCGUGAAGAAAUCCACAUUUAUACUUUGUUAAACCCUAGCUUCCUUAUCCUCUUU